AAAAUCAUGAUGUACUAUACUUGUAGCAAGUUAAAAUAGUUGCUAUCUUGGAUCGUGGUGAUGCUUAUAUAUGUAAGUGUUAAAACCUUAGAAAGGAUAAGCCUUUUUGUCCAUAGCUGAAGCGUUACAGCUUAUAAUUGCUUUUGGCAGUCUUUUGAUUUUCCUAAUUAAUCUUGU
rfam:Marinilactibacillus sp. 15R, complete genome.